AUGAAAAGACAAAACACCUUAACAACAACAAAAAAAUUCUCAGCCGGGUGGUGGUGGCGGCGCACGCCUUUAAUCCCAGCACUUGGGAGGCAGAGGCAGGUGGAUCUCCGUGAGUUUGAGGCCAGCCUGGUCUACAAAGCGAGUUCCAGGAAAGGCACAAAGCUACACAAAGAAACCUUGACUCGAAAACAAACAAACAAACAAAAAAAAACCCAAAAAAUUUUCAAUACGUAUGUGCACCAAAGGACAUUUUCAAACUAUGUUUAAAUUUUUUUACAACUCACAGGUGGGCUGAAGACUUCAAGAAAGGAAACAUAAAUGACCAGUAGAGCUUCCUCUCCUAGACUACACAUGCUUUGAAUCAUCCUUAUUGUGUUCCUACUGACAGGCCCUGGGCCUGGUGGCACUCAGGAGAGAGGCACGGAGGGACUGGACUGUGUUGGGAGUAGAACAAUGGCAUAGUGAUGAAGGAUGAAGAUUCUGGAUCCAAGGCAUUCAAGCUCAACCUCCAGCUUCUGAAUGUGCCUACUCUAAAACAGCAGACAAAGUACUUUAUGUUUCUUUGGCUCCAGUCCGUUAUUCAUAAAAUGAGAAUAUAAACAUGAAUUUCACUGUUAUCAUAGGAUUAUAGUAGUCUCUUCACAUGGGUUUCUUUAAGGAGUAUCUUCAACUCUUGAUUUCAUAUAGAUGUGACAGCACAUAGAUCGUAGAAGACAUUCAAUAGCAGUCACUGAAAGAUAUGCAAAUUAAAGCAUUUUGGCAAACAUAAUUAAACAGGUAGGUAGAACUUGUCCCUUGUAACACAUAUAAAUAUAUUUUAGUUAAAAUAUUUAAUUUAGUGAAGUAUGACUAAUUUUAAUUUUUCAAUUUCAUAAUCAUUCUAGUAGAUGAAGUAAAUGUGAAAAUGUCUGAGAAUGGAUUUAUAUUCUACUACAAAUCAAUAUAUUAGACACUCUUAGAAUAUAAAUUAAGAAAAAGAUGCUUCGGUGGUUAUAAUUUGGGAAGUCACUAGUUUGAACUGAAAAAUCUUUUGAAACAAAUACUUUGCCCCAUAUUUUGGUUCUUUUGUCCUCUGUUUCCUUUUUUGUGCACCUUCCUAAUGUUCCCACGAGCUUUAACUACAGCAGCAAUAAAGUCCGAGUUUAUUCAAGA